rnacentral:lncRNA from 1 species
UCUUUUUGUGAAUGAAAAUUUUAUUUCCCAAAAAAACUUAUCAGUUCUCGUGUCAUCUUCUCCGCGAUGGCACCGUCUUCUUUGUCUUCUUCGUGACACCAUCUUUUUUGUCUUCUCUACAUCAUCGUUUUCUCUAUCUACUGCAAUACCAUCUUCUUCUCUGUUGUCUAAAGAUCUUGUUGUCCUUCUCGAUGUCAACUGGUGUGAUUCUCAUAACACUCAACGGUUCAUUCUUUUUUUGUAAUUCCUAAAUACAUGUUUUGUUCUACUAUGGGUUCACUAUUUUGGAGUUCAAGGUUUUAUUGUUUUAGAGUUUUUAUUUUGAGGUUUUUCUGCUUUGGGGUUUUGAUAUUUUGUUGUUUAACUUUGUUGUUUUUCUAUUUUGUUGUUUCUUUGUUUAGUUGUUUCACUAUUUUGCUUUUGUUGUUUUACUAUUUUGUUGUUUUUGUAUUUUGUUAUUUUAUUGUUUCGUUGUUUUGCUAUUUCGAUGUUUUUCUAUUUCCCUGUUUUAUUGUUUUGCUAUUUUGUUGUCAUGGCAUGGACGCGUGAUAAGUUCAAAAUUUCAUUAAUAUUUCAUAUUAAAAUAUAGACACUUAUGAGUAUUAAUUGCUAAAAUAAGUAUAAGACAACCCAAAAUUUAUGAAUUUAUACCUUUCUACAUAUUUUAUGAUUUUAAUUUUAAUAGGAACGAUUUAUUCCCAAAUUUGGUGUUAAUUUCAGUAUUCUAGGGGAGAAUGAAGAUGAUUCGACAAAAGGAGAAUAUACAAAGUUAAAAAGGGAAAGUUGGAAUGCAUCAACACUCAACAAGUUGCCAAAAUGCGCGAAAGAACCAUCUCACCACCAGGGGAGCUCACUCAAGCAAGCUAUAUCUCUCUUGAGCAAGAUAACACCACUGAAGUUGGGUUGGACGACGUUUUGCUUUCUCAAGCGAGCCCAUUAUCGCUUGAGCAAGAAUCCACUUAAGCCCAGACAAAUUAGGUUAAAUAGGGGGCUUGAGGCACAACCCUAAUGUGCAAGAUUGAGAGGAAAACACCAUUGAGUGACCUGUAACCCAAUUGGGCGAAUAUGAGGUGUGAGAAACAUUAGAGGAGGCAGUCGCCAAGGAGAAACAUCUUGAAUCUUCUUUUUAUGUUAUCCUUGAGUGUAGUAGUCAUCAUGAGUGGCUAAUUCUACCUUUUGGGAUUGAGAGUAAUCUAUUCAAAUU